rnacentral:tRNA from 1 species
GAAUAUACACCCCCCCUAAUA